UUACACCCUGAUCUGAACUAUUUCCUAACUUGACUGACAAUGGCGGAGAAUGAAGGAGGAACUGUAAACUUUGUGAAGAGCCUGUGGAAUGACCCUUUCAGAUGGCAGCUGGUGAAAAGUGUUUCCCUGUUUGCUGUUGGUGUCUUCUUUGCCAGAGAAAUGGCUGCAGCGAGCGCAGAACCACUGUCAUGAAACUGAGCAUUGAGUGAGGAUCAGAGUGAACGGUUCAGAGAAUGGUUCCUGUGCGUGAGUCAACUGUGUGUGUAUGUCACCGAGGUAUGACAAGGGAAGACACUGAGCAAGAUUUCUAACUUGUGUGAGCAUAAAAGUUUAAGCUUUGAGUGACAAGCUUAGCAUCGGAACAAUAAACUUUACAACUUGACUUUC
rnacentral:lncRNA from 1 species